GGGACCCAGGCGCAGAGUUUCUAAUCUGCCGGGGGGUGCUCCCCCAGGCCCCGCCCCCACCCUGCUUCUUCCCCUCCUGGCUCCGCCCCCACCCCAUCUCUUCCCACUUCCUCACCCCGCUUGCCCACCCACCUCCUGCAGGGCCCAGGACGGUGGCUCUGAUUCGCUGUACCCCAGGGACGGCGCUGCCUGUGCGUGAUGAACAGACAGCGGUGCCCAAACACCUCAAGGCGCGCAAACAAACCCAGAGCUAAGGUCUCCGAUGCCCUGCCCAGAUAUUGACACCAACGCAAGAGGAGUGCAAAUGCUACCAAAUCAGCACUGGCAGAGGCCUGUCCUCACUUUGUGUGGGUGGGAAGGACAGCAAUGGAGACUCAAAUCCUGAGGUGCCAGUGUCUCAUGCUUCCUCUGAUGGCUCUGCUGCAGAACAGCACAAAAUAAUCUAGCUACAAAGAGAUCUUAAGAGAUCCAUUUCCUUCCCCCGAAAAAGAGAAAUCGAAUCCUUUGCAACUUGUUUAUAUUAAAUUCCUUAUCACACAGCACAGGGCCGGGGCUCUGGAGUUUGCAGUACCUUUCAGAGUUGCAUUUAUUUUCAUGUAACAACCUAACAGCAGCUCACAGCUGAGCCAUAUCUGGGGCAGAAGACAAAUGGGAAGAGGAUUUAGUUUCUGUCUCUUACGUAGAGAUGCAGAAGAUGGCUACUAGUAACAAUCACGUUCUAAUGCCUUUAGUCAGCAGAAUAGGCUUGCGUGAAUGGAGUUUUACUCUUUUAAUCAUGCUCUAAAGUUCAGAAUGAUCAAAACUAGAAAACAAAAAUUAGUGUUAUACAAAUAUAAUGAGAGUUCAUUC